UUUCAAUGACGAUAUCCCUGUCCAGUUCUGCUACUGAAUGCAAGUGACGAUAAUGUGACUCUGAGAUA
ensembl:snoRNA small nucleolar RNA SNORD38